rnacentral:rRNA from 1 species
CCUACGGGGCGCAGCAGUAGGGAAUAUUGCUCAAUGGGGGAAACCCUGAAGCAGCAACGCCGCGUGGAGGAUGAAGGUUUUAGGAUUGUAAACCCCUUUUGUUAGAGAAGAUUAUGACGGUACCUAACGAAUAAGCACCGGCUAACUCCGUGCCAGCAGCCGCGGUAAUACGGAGGGUGCAAGCGUUACUCGGAAUCACUGGGGGUAAAGAGUGCGUAGGCGGGGUAAUAAGUCAGAUGUGAAAUCCUGUAGCUUAACUACAGAACUGCAUUGGAAACUGUUAGUCUGGAGUCUGGGAGAGGAAGGGGGAUGUCUGGGGGUAGGGGUAAAAUCCG